rnacentral:rRNA from 1 species
CUUGGUCAUUUAGAGGAAGUAAAGGUCGUAACAAGGUUUCCGUAGGUGAACCUGCGGAAGGAUCACUAUCGUACAAAAUGUGUGAGGCAUGCAAGGGCUGUCGCUGACUUUUUAAUCACAAAAAGUCGUGCACGCCGGAGCGUGUCCUCUCGCGUAAAAUCCAUCUCACCCUUUUGUGCACCACCGCGUGGGCACCCUUUGGGAUCGAACCGAUCCAGGAGGGCGCUUGCGUUUUCACACAAACCCCCUUAUAAAAGUGUAGAAUGACCCCAUUUUUGCGAUAACACGCAAUCGAUACAACUUUCAACAACGGAUCUCUUGGCUCUCGCAUCGAUGAAGAACGCAGCGAAAUGCGAUACGUAAUGUGAAUUGCAGAAUUCAGUGAAUCAUCGAAUCUUUGAACGCACCUUGCGCCCCUUGGUAUUCCGAGGGGCACACCCGUUUGAGUGUCGUGAAAAUCUCAACCUCCUCGGUUUCUUCUGGACGCCGAAGGAGGCUUGGACUUUGGAGGCCUUUGCUGGCGUCUCUCGCCAGCUCCUCUCAAAUGAAUUAGCGGGGUCCUCUUUGCCGAUCCUCGACGUGUGAUAAGAUGUUUCCAUGUCUUGGUUUCUGGCUCUGUCGCCUUUGGGACCCGCUUCUAACCGUCUCAAGUCGAGACAACGUUUGAGCGUGUCUCCCUUCUCGGGAAACACCCUCGAGCCCACGAACCCUUGACCUCAAAUCGGGUGAGACUACCCGCUGAACUUAAGCAUAUCAAUAAGCGGAGGA